GCUUCAUAUCUUGACUUACAUCUAGAAAUUGACAAUGAGGGUCGGUUGAAAACAAAACUUUACGACAAAAGAGAUGAUUUCAGCUUUCCAAUUGUGAACUUUCCAUUUCUUAGUAGCAACAUUCCAGCAGCACCUGCAUACGGGGUAUAUAUCUCCCAAUUGAUACGAUAUUCCCGUGCUUGCAUUUCCUUUCAUGAUUUUCUUGAUAGAGGUUUGCUGCUCACAAGGAAGCUAUUAAACCAAGAGUUCCAAAUGGUGAAGUUGAAAUCAUCCCUUCGUAAAUUUUACGGACGC
rnacentral:lncRNA from 1 species